rnacentral:tRNA from 1 species
GUUGUUGUAGUAUAGUGGUGAGUAUCCUUGCCUGUCACGCGGGAGACUUGGGUUUAAUCCCCGGCAACGGCG